ACUUCUCGGCUACAUACGAACCCAAGAUCUUUCUUCUGAAGCUGACAAUCUUAAAUUGACCUCCUCCACCAAAAUGUGGACAAGAAGUUUUGAAAAUUUCUAGUAAGCUAUCAGAAUUUGAAGUAUACUGACCCCUAUCUAGCAGAACAAUCCUUUCUUUUCUUCACUUUAUUUCACUAGUUCUAACUUCACUGUAUAUUCCUAAGAAAAAGGAACAUAAAUACUCUUUGCAGUAAAUAUUCUAUUUUUUUAUUCUCAAUCUCAGCAUACUUUCAAAUCAUCUCGACAAUAAACAGAAGUAGGGAAGUAAGUGACAUUACAUUUCUGGUUAUGUCCUCUCAACUGAAACAACAAAAUAUAUAAUCUCUUGAAUAUUCACUUUGGAAAGUGAACAAUGGUCUGGGUGCUUCAAAACAACAGAUUUAUCAAGGAUAUUUGUAAUUGGCUUUGUAAUGCAUUACAUGCUUUUGACAGAUCAGACUGUUAGGUUUGCUAAAGCAAUGAACAUAGGAAAAAAAAAAGAUUGAUUAGAGGUUUAGAACAUGCUAUAAUACUUCUCCCAGAAAUAAUAAAAUGUAGAGCCUGAGGAUCAGUCAAAUGUAUUUAUACAGGGUUGAGUGUUGCCCAUCUGCAGCCGGAGUAAAGGUGAACAUUUGGGACGAGUAAUCAGCAUCUAUUUCCAGGAAAAGAUUCCAGGAGACAAAGCCCAUAAAAGAAGGUAAUUGUUGAAGACAUAGGGAAUUUCUUGAAACUAUAAAUAAAAAUCAGUGCAGACCUUGUUCAUCUUUUUGCCAUAAUGAAGACCUGAUCCUAGUGCAGAGAGUGGUGUGGAAAGAGAGCUGUCUGGUCAGAGGUAAAAUAUAUAAAAUAAUAGCUUAUUUUGGCUUUAUUUAUUUAUUUAUUUAUUUUAUGGCUGCACCUGUAGCACAUGGAUGUUCCCAAGCUAGGGGUCGAAUAGGAGCUGCAGCUGCCAGCCUACACCACAGCCACAGAAAUGUGGGAUUCUGUAACCUGUGUCACAUCUGUAACCUCUGUCACAUCUGUAACCUAUGUCACAGCUUGCAGCAAUGCUGGAUCCUUAACCCACUGAGUGAGGCGAAGAUCUAACCCAAAUCUUCAGGGACACUAUGUUGGGUUCUUAAUCUGCUGAGUCAUGACAGGAACUCCUUAUUUUGGUUGUAUUUGUGAAUAAUUUCUACUCCUUUGUGGGUCACCACCAUAGGUGGUUAAUUCUCUUUCGGCCAUAGUUGAAAUCAUUGCUCUAUUUCAAAGGAGAUGAAGCAAAAGAGAGUUUAAGGAAGCCCAUAUUGAUUAUCACUAUUGGAUGAAUAACUGCUUCACUCAUUAGAAAGUAUCAGAAAUAUUGUCCUCAAAUCAGAAACAACACACCAGCCUCAGACAGAGAUUAAAAUAAUUGCGAAAUGAAAAAAAUCUCUGUCUGCCAUAGAAUCUAAAUUUGCGAUGUUUGUCACAAACAGAAAGAGCAAUAGACAAGCUUAUAUAAUUUUGAUGCACACUUUACAAAUCUGGAAGUAUUUUAUUGGUUAACAUUUUUGUUUGAGGUUUUUUUGCUGAAUUCAAUAAAAGCAUUGAUUUUUCAAUUGACAGCAGAAAGUUAUGACUGCUAUCAUUGUCAAGUUAAAUAUAAGUUACUGUCUAAUUCAUGGUAGUUAUGUGUAUUAUACAAUUUCAUAAAAAUUGGGAAAAAAUCUUAUUUAAAAGAUAAGAUUUUUAAAAAUAAGAGAAGCCAAAUAUUGUAUAUGCCUUUGUUAGCUAGCUGAACAAUGCCAAACCAUCCAGAUAUAAAGUUAAAUUCAGCCAACCAAUAUAAUCAGCCACUUGCAAAGCCAUAUCCUCUUCCUAUUUUUAUUCACCAAGCCAAAUCUCUCAUCUAUGUUUUUUCCAGCUGGUGUGUGUAUUUUAUAAAAUUGUGGCUAUCAAGGUGGUUGUAUUUGGGAGCUGUUUUCCAUUAUGCAUUACUUUUGGAUCCAUCCUUAAGCUUUCUUGUUCUACAUGCAGGACUGUCUUGAUAUUUCAGCAAGAGAAUACCAGAAAAUGCCAUUAAGACACAAUGUAAAACAAAUUAUUUUGAGCCAAAAUGAUCACGGAAGUUAAUUUACAUGAAAUCAUUGUCUCACCGCUCUUAGCCUGCUCCAUCCUCUGAGUGACUCUUUUGAAAUCAUAGUUCCCGCUGGUUAGGUAGUGAUUUCUCAAGUCAACUGUGGAGCUCUCUUAUAAGGUGAAUUUUGGGAAUUUCAGUUAAAUAACUAUAGCUGUGCCUUAUCAUUGCUCUCUUGCAAAGAUUCUCAAAGAUGAUGUAAUAUGAAAAAACUCAUACAUAAAAGAAAUAGCUAUUUAGAGACAUGAAACUCAAACUAUCUCUUCUGAUGUCUUUCCAGAAAGUGAAGUUUCAAGGGGUGAUUUCUUUUAGAAGGAUGUGGCUGACAAAAGUAUUAAUAUUUCUGAACAUUUUGAGACUUCAAAUCCCCUUUCCUAAAAGUCAUGUUUGCAUGGCUGGUAUGUCUUCUAAUCUCCUUUUUUUUUUUUCUUUUCUUUUUUUCUUCUUUUAAACUGUGACUUAGAGUAUGAGAUAGGACAGGGAUAAAAAUACAUUUCCUCAAAUCAUAGAAUCAUCUACUCUCAAAGUAGAAAAAAAGUACGUUGACUCAUGAAGUUCAACUUUUCUGUCUUCAAUUCCUACCUCACCUCAUUUGGAAGUUCAUCUUAUACUUCUAAGGAAAGCAAGCAAAUCAUUUUAGAACCCCUUGAUAAUGGUCAAGAAACUUUUCUUUUUUUUUUUUUUUUUCUUUUGCUUUUGAGGGCUGCACCUGAGGCAUAUGGAAGUUCCCAGGCUAAGGGUCAAAUCAGAGCUACAGUUGCUGGCCACAGCCACAGCCAUGGCAACAUGGGAUCUGAGCCAUGUCUACCGCCUACACCACAGCACAUGGCAAUGCCAGAUUUUUAACCGAUUGAGAGAGGCCAGAGAUCAAACCCACAAUCUCAUGGUUCCUAGUCGGAUUCCUUUUCGCUAUGCCUUACGGGAACUCCAAAUACGCAUGUUUAAACGUGAAAUACAUGUCCAGGAGUAAGGCUGACUAAGAAGAAAGCAGCAAUACCUAAGAGGGUUUUCUCUUUCUUUCCAGCCCUCCCCAUGCUGACACUUCCUUCGCCUCAGUGGUAGACUGGCUGCCCUGUCUUUCAGUUUCUCAGUCAUGUCAUAGUCCUUCCUCCUGUGACUCUUGACUAAAUGCAAUCACAUAUUUAUUCCUUUAUUCAUAAUGAAGUAUAUAUAUAUAUCCAGAAUUUACUUUGUCUAUGUUAGCAAGCAUCAGAUGUUGUUAAAAGCACUACCGGCCAGUGGGAGGGAAGAUGGGAUGCUCAAAGUCAAGCUCUCAUUUGUUCUUUCACUCUGCAAAUACUCAUCGAACCUUUUCUAUGGGCCAGGCCUGGACCAGACAUAGCAACAUAAGGUCAUUUAGACCACACUCCUGGAACUCCAGGAACUCUUCUUCUAGCAAGGGAGGAAGAUACUAGAAAAUAUAAGAGAUGUACAUGUGAGGAAUAUUAAAAUCAAAAGAUUAAUUUUGAAUUACAAUUCCAAGUGAGCUAUGCAAAAAAAAA
rnacentral:lncRNA from 1 species